UACAGAGGUCCCAAGCGUUGUUCGGAUUCACUGGGCGCAAAGGGUGCGUAGGUGGUGAGGUAAGUCGGAUGUGAAAGCUCCGAGCUCAACUCGGAAAUGGCAUUGGAAACUACCUUGCUCGAGGGUUUGAGGGGGGACUGGAAUACUUGGUGUAGCAGUGAAAUGCGUAGAUAUCAAGUAGAACACCAGUGGCGAAGGCGAGUCCCUGGAAAACUCCUGACACUGAGGCACGAAAGCUAGGGGAGCAAACAGG
rnacentral:rRNA from 1 species